UAUGAGAGUUUGAUCCUGGCUCAGGAUGAACGCCGGCGGUGUGCCUAAUACAUGCAAGUCGUACGCACUGGCCCAACUGAUUGAUGGUGCUUGCACCUGAUUGACGAUGGAUCACCAGUGAGUGGCGGACGGGUGAGUAACACGUAGGUAACCUGCCCCGGAGCGGGGGAUAACAUUUGGAAACAGAUGCUAAUACCGCAUAACAACAAAAGCCACAUGGCUUUUGUUUAAAAGAUGGCUUUGGCUAUCACUCUGGGAUGGACCUGCGGUGCAUUAGCUAGUUGGUAAGGUAACGGCUUACCAAGGCGAUGAUGCAUAGCCGAGUUGAGAGACUGAUCGGCCACAAUGGAACUGAGACACGGUCCAUACUCCUACGGGAGGCAGCAGUAGGGAAUCUUCCACAAUGGGCGCAAGCCUGAUGGAGCAACACCGCGUGAGUGAAGAAGGGUUUCGGCUCGUAAAGCUCUGUUGUUGGAGAAGAACGUGCGUGAGAGUAACUGUUCACGCAGUGACGGUAUCCAACCAGAAAGUCACGGCUAACUACGUGCCAGCAGCCGCGGUAAUACGUAGGUGGCAAGCGUUAUCCGGAUUUAUUGGGCGUAAAGCGAGCGCAGGCGGUUGCUUAGGUCUGAUGUGAAAGCCUUCGGCUUAACCGAAGAAGUGCAUCGGAAACCGGGCGACUUGAGUGCAGAAGAGGACAGUGGAACUCCAUGUGUAGCGGUGGAAUGCGUAGAUAUAUGGAAGAACACCAGUGGCGAAGGCGGCUGUCUGGUCUGCAACUGACGCUGAGGCUCGAAAGCAUGGGUAGCGAACAGGAUUAGAUACCCUGGUAGUCCAUGCCGUAAACGAUGAGUGCUAGGUGUUGGAGGGUUUCCGCCCUUCAGUGCCGGAGCUAACGCAUUAAGCACUCCGCCUGGGGAGUACGACCGCAAGGUUGAAACUCAAAGGAAUUGACGGGGGGCCCGCACAAGCGGUGGAGCAUGUGGUUUAAUUCGAAGCUACGCGAAGAACCUUACCAGGUCUUGACAUCUUGCGCUAACCUUAGAGAUAAGGCGUUCCCUUCGGGGACACAAUGACAGGUGGUGCAUGGUCGUCGUCAGCUCGUGUCGUGAGAUGUUGGGUUAAGUCCCGCAACGAGCGCAACCCUUGUUACUAGUUGCCAGCAUUAAGUUGGGCACUCUAGUGAGACUGCCGGUGACAAACCGGAGGAAGGUGGGGACGACGUCAGAUCAUCAUGCCCCUUAUGACCUGGGCUACACACGUGCUACAAUGGACGGUACAACGAGUCGCAAGCUCGCGAGAGUAAGCUAAUCUCUUAAAGCCGUUCUCAGUUCGGACUGUAGGCUGCAACUCGCCUACACGAAGUCGGAAUCGCUAGUAAUCGCGGAUCAGCAUGCCGCGGUGAAUACGUUCCCGGGCCUUGUACACACCGCCCGUCACACCAUGGGAGUUUGUAACGCCCAAAGUCGGUGGCCUAACCUUUAUGGAGGGAGCCGCCUAAGGCGGGACAGAUGACUGGGGUGAAGUCGUAACAAGGUAGCCGUAGGAGAACCUGCGGCUGGAUCACCUCCUU
rnacentral:rRNA from 1 species